rnacentral:tRNA from 1 species
GGGAGAGGGGGCUGGUGCUCCCCCGGGGCUGCAAACCCCGUGGGCCCCCGGAGAGAGGGGUGCUGACUGGUUCGAUUCCAGCCCCG